rnacentral:rRNA from 1 species
GCUCGCGUUGCGUCUAUUAUGGAAAACACCACUCUUUCCAAGCAACAGCAGGUUUCCGAGAUUAUGCGCCAAAUGCUUACUCAAGCUCAAACGGCUGGUCAGUAUUUUACCAAUGACCAAAUCAAAGAAAUGACUCGCAAGGUUAGUGCUGAGGUUGACUUAGUUCAUCAGCAAACGCAGAAUCAGCGGUAUGGCUCUUCUCAUAUUGGCGCUACUGCAAAGGAUAUUUCUAAUGUCGUCACU